rnacentral:rRNA from 1 species
UGGGGAAUAUUGGACAAUGGGCGCAAGCCUGAUCCAGCCAUGCCGCGUGAGUGAUGAAGGCCUUAGGGUUGUAAAGCUCUUUCACCGAUGAAGAUAAUGACGGUAGUCGGAGAAGAAGCCCCGGCUAACUUCGUGCCAGCAGCCGCGGUAAUACGAAGGGGGCUAGCGUUGUUCGGAUUUACUGGGCGUAAAGCGCACGUAGGCGGUUUGUUAAGUCAGGGGUGAAAUCCCACAGCUCAACUGUGGAACUGCCUUUGAUACUGGCAAGCUAGAGUCCGGAAGAGGUAAGUGGAACUCCUAGUGUAGAGGUGGAAUUCGUAGAUAUUAGGAAGAACACCAGUGGCGAAGGCGGCUUACUGGUCCGGAACUGACGCUGAGGUGCGAAAGCGUGGGGAGCAAACA